UUUUAUUUGGCUUUACACAUAUGAAUUCAUGGUGUUUAUGUAUUGUUAUAGGUUACGGAUGCAACAUCGUUAAACAAUUCCAGGACAAUUAAAUUGUUGAUUCAAUCGAACAUAUGGUAUGAACAUGGUUUGUUUCACGGGGUGUUUCGGUGUCUUGCCUUGAAUCAAGGCGUGUAAAAACGUAAAGCUUGCUUUUAUCUAUCUUUUUUUAUUGUCACGUCUUUAUCCAUCUAUGUAACGCUUAAUCAUCAAUUAUUAUAUUAAACUUCAAUAAAGGCUGGUGUACCAAAUUCAUGGUUUGUUUUAUCUGAUUAGUGUACCAAAUUCAAUUGGAACUAUAUCAGAUCCAUGAAAUUAUUGAUUAUUGAUACAUGCAGGUUAUGUGUGAUCCUUAUACACCAGCUGGUGUUCCAAUUUCAACCAACAAGAGGCACAACGCUGCUAAAAUUUUCAGACACCAAUCGUUGCCUCCGAGGAGCCUUGGUAUGCUCAUCUUCUUGUUUUUUGGCUAUACAUAUUAUUUUCGUUACUAUAAAUUCUAAUAGUGUUUGUUUUUUUAAACGAUUGUAUGUUUUGGAUGAAUGAAAGCAACCACGAUGCAUGAAGAAGAUUCAGGUGAUGUUUCAAUUGAUCUUUUAUCUUUAAUUUAUCGAUUUUCUAAUUUUACAAAAAUGUUCUCACCAAGUAGAAUAUACUUUUGAGUUUUGAGUUAAAUCUUUCACAGUCUGUUGUGGAUUAGCAACGUUUCAAGCCAUAUUAACUAUUGUGUUGUGGCAGUUCGAAAGAUUCAUAUAAAUUGGACUAUUGCUACAAAAAAAAAACAGAAUCACAGGUUUAAUUCUAUCAAAGGAGAUAAAGCCUCUUAUCUCUACUGUCUUUGAGGGUAAAGAUGCUAAUGUCGUCGCCCACGGAGCAAGAAAUUGCGGAAAAACAUAUCUCAUACAUGUAUUGAAAGCAAUCCCAUUAAGGUAUUGAUUAUCAGACAUGAUACUAUAGAUGAAAAAUGCUAAUUAUUGUAUCGCAUGGUUUGUAGGGAAAUGAUUAUGCUCUGACGCUCAAAGGAAACAGACACCUUUGACUGUGUCUGCUACUUCUAGAAAACAGACAAUGCUAAGGGGAAAUGUGACAGAGAGAAAAGACUAAAAUCAAAGCAAGGUAAAUCUUUCAGAAACAACUUUGUAUCAACUCUAAGCCUCAAUAUCCAUGAUAUACCUGCAUCUGCUCUGUUGUUCAGUUUUAGAACAUCAAAUAAUGAUGAUUUUUUUUCUCAAUGUUUGAAGGAAACUGUUCCGCGAAGCAAACGAUUCAGUGAAAUGUAAAAAUAGCAUGUUGGAAAAUUUAAUUAAUACGUCAUGAAGUGGAAUAAUCUAGAUUCUUCCUUUACAAAGAGGUAAAACAGAGGGUAUAGAAACAGAGACUAAGAGACCAAGAGUCUUAAUUAAGGAGGUUUGGUAUACCACUUAACCCUAAUCAAUCCACUACUUACUUGAUAAAGACAUAUUCUCAUCAUGUAUAUUUGAUUAGAUUAGCUAGGCUCGUAAUAUGGGACAAAACCCCGAAGAUGAGCAAGAAAUGCUUUGAAAGAUUUUAUCGUAGCAUGAGUGUCAUAUCUACACCCUUCAGUGCUCCCUUGUAAAAUCAAAGUAUCUGAGUAUAGAUACUUAAUAGGUUUAAGUGUUCUUCGAUCUUGGACGAUAUGUUCCAACUUAUACUGAUACAGAGGUUAUACAGAUUUUUGGUUUUUCUAAUAAAAUAAAUUGUUUGCUGAAA